rnacentral:rRNA from 1 species
UACGUAGGGGGCGAGCGUUGUCCGGAAUCAUUGGGCGUAAAGCGCGUGUAGGCGGCCCGGUAAGUCCGCUGUGAAAGUCCAGGGCUCAACCCUGGGAUGCCGGUGGAUACUGUCGGGUUAGAGUCCGGAAGAGGAGUGUGGAAUUCCUGGUGUAGCGGUGAAAUGCGCAGAUAUCAGGAGGAACACCAAUGGCGAAGGCAGCACUCUGGGACGUGACUGACGCUGAGACGCGAAAGCCAGGGGAGCAAACGGG